CCACCCAUCCAGUGUUUCUUUAUACAAACGAAUACACAAAAUUUAUCUAUGGUUAAUGAUGAAUCAUGGACGUGUGUGUCUUCCCAAACGUUUUUGUCUCGAGUAUAUAGCGGCGGCCUAAGAGCAUUUUACUGGGGAAUUCUCUCCCAGUUACUCUUAUUUUUGGGGCUAAAAAAAAAUUAAAAACCCCAACAUUCAGUCCAUUAAGCAGAGAAACGUUACUACAGGAAGGAAUUGAGGAACGGCAUAAGUAACGCUAUGUGGCAUGUUUUGGUUGGUUGCAGGUUUAAUUUAAAAAAAAAAAAUUUUGUCAUUUUCUUUUCCUUCUUUCGCUAUCUUCUCUCUUCUCUCUUCUCUCUUCUCUCUCUCGACGGAAUCCCUAAAACUCAUAGUGAUUCACCUCAGCAGAAUCCAAUUCAGCAGUUCCAGGUUAAAUUCAAGGAAAUAGAAACUGGUUUCAAGACUUGGCUAUCGAAACAAUCAAUACCAGUGGAAGCCGCCGUAGUCUCAACCAUGAGCGGUGUCCAAGGAGCUUUCAUUGGUGGUCUCAUGGGAACACUUUCUCUCAUGCUGGCGUUGACCUUCAAGCCAUAGCUUCCACGAAACAAGCUCAGGUUUAAUACACUCUCAUAUAUUUAUCCACAUCUUUCAAAAUAAGUUAAUGUUGUAAUUGAGGUAUGAGUGAAUUGAGAUCUGUAAUGAAACGGAUUAGAGACAAAGAAGAUAUUGAAUCUGCGUAAGUUUCAAUUCCUGUGAGCUGCUUCAUUCACUAAUAUUGUAAUCUCUUUGUAUUAGAUGUCUUGAUAAGUUUUUUUGUAAUUUGGGAUUAGUCUUAAGAGUUUAGUUAUCAUUAAGAAAAAAAUAUCGCAAAGCUUGGAUUGAGAUGCAGGGGAUCGGCUUUUAGCUGCUCUGUCCUUGGUUGCACAACUUGGGGCAGAGCUUGCCACGACUUUAGUGAUUGUUAUCUCAAAGGUGUGUACUAUAUACCGUUGUUUACACAGGCAGUUUUAUAUGAUGGUUGGUCUUGAUAUUGGCGAGCAUGACUUAGUAUUUUACGUGUUUCUCAUAGUGGAGAUAGAGGUAAUUGGUACAUAAGCUUAAACUUAGUAUGAUCACUCAUUGCUUUUAUGUAUGUUAAUGCAUUGACAUCAUAUAGGGGAUUAAUAUUAGAGAGAUGCUUACCGGUGCCAAAAUAAUGGAUGAGGCUACUAGAACAACUUCAUUCAAAAAUAACCCUGCAGCUCUCUUAGCUAUGUGUUGGUACUGGGCUUCAGAUGGUGUUGGCUCCAAGUAGAUAAGAUUUAACGAUCUUCCAUCGACUUUUCACAUCCAAACUAUCUCCUGGUAUAAGAAAUUUGCAGGUACAUGGCAUCCUCUUUGCUGAGAGUUGCAAGUGAGCAUAGUUCGGUUGUGGCAGUUAUCGGGAAAGGGCAUAUCAAAGGAAUCAAGAAGAAUUGGAAGCAAUCUAUAACGAUGAAUGAUCUAAUGGAGAUACCGAGCGACAAGUCAGUCUUUACGGUAAAGAGGAUAAUAUCAUCAGUGGCAAUGGUAGUUGCAGGGACAGCUAUAGUUUCGGGUAUACUUCUUGCAAGAAGAAGGUGAAGAAGAUUGUGCUUGGUGAAGAGUUUUUUCUUCAUUCUCCUCAGUGCCAUACGAAGGAAUGAUACAAGCUCAAAAGUAACUUUUACUUUUGUACCUUUGAUUGAUGAAAAUAAUAGAGUUUUCUUUCUUUUGGGUUUUUUGAAUUUCGAGUUUCUCAUAUCAAUUGAAGUUUGUAAAAUUUUAUUGUUUUCUAUUUUAUGUAAUAAUAACAAAUUAAAUAA